UACGUAGGGAGCAAGCGUUGUUCGGAUUUACUGGGCGUAAAGAGCGUGUAGGCGGUUUUACAAGUCCGCUGUGAAAACUCGAGGCUCAACCUCGAGACGUCGGCGGAAACCAUCUGGCUAGAGUCCGGAAGAGGAGAGUGGAAUUCCUGGUGUAGCGGUGAAAUGCGCAGAUAUCAGGAAGAACACCCGUGGCGAAGGCGGCUCUCUGGGACGGUACUGACGCUGAGACGCGAAAGCGUGGGGAGCGAACAGG
rnacentral:rRNA from 1 species